UUGGAGGGCAGUCUGGUGCCAGCAGCCGCGGUAAUUCCAGCUCCAAUAGCGUAUAUUAAAGUUGUUGCAGUUAAAAAGCUCGUAGUUGAAUUUCGGAAUUUUUUUAUCGGUUGAACCAACAGGUUCGUACUGAUUUUAAGAAUUUCUACCUUCUGGAGAACCUUAAUGUCAUUUAUUUGAUGUUUUGGGAAACCAGGACUGUUACCUUGAAAAAAUUAGAGUGUUUAAAGCAGGCUUAUGUCUGAAUAUAUUAGCAUGGAAUAAUGAAAUAGGACGGCAUGGUUCUAUUUUGUUGGUUUCUAGGAUCACCGUAAUGAUUAAUAGGGAUAGUUGGGGGCAUUAGUAUUCAAUUGUCAGAGGUGAAAUUCUUGGAUUUAUUGAAGACUAACUUCUGCGAAAGCAUUUGCCAAGGAUGUUUUCAUUAAUCAAGAACGAAAGUUAGGGGAUCGAAGACGAUCAGAUACCGUCGUAGUCUUAACCAUAAACUAUGCCGACUAGGAAUCGGACGAAGUUAAUUUUUUAAUGACUCGUUCGGCGCCUUACGGGAAAC
rnacentral:rRNA from 1 species